rnacentral:lncRNA from 1 species
GGACAUGACUGAGCAACCUUCACUUGACUUCACUUCAGGCAUAUAUUGCAGGAAACAGAAUCCCUGGGAUGAACAAGAUAGACACACAGAAUGGAAGAAUAGAUGCACAGAAUUGCACAUGGAAGCAAUUUUAAAUGAUAACACACUAUAAAACUGAAAAUUGUUGAGGCUGUUCUAUACAUGAGAUGUGUGAAAAUACAAGGAAAACAGAGAACAAAGAGGAGGUCACAGAUAGAAUCUUGAAGAAUGAGAAGCCCCAGCAUCCGAUGUGACAAUUCUGUAGCAGCCAUGGGCCAGGACAGGAAGAAAUGCACAAACGAUGACAGACAUCACGUUUAGCAUCUAGGAAAACAAGGGUGUGAAUUUAACAGAUCAAAUUUUCUACUAGCUAGUACUAGGAGAUUGUUUCUUGUUAGAAAUAAAAAUUGAUAGAACUG